rnacentral:rRNA from 1 species
GGCGGAGCGAAACUCGAAAAAGUGUCUCAGUUCAGAUUGCAGGCUGAAACUCGCCUGUAUGAAGUCGGAAUUGCUAGUAAUCGCGGAUCAGCAUGCCGCGGUGAAUACGUUCCCGGGCCUUGUACACACCGCCCGUCACACCAUGAGAGUCGGGAACACCCGAAGUCCGUAGUCUAACCGCAAGGGGGGCGCGGCCGAAGGUGGGUCCGGUAAUUGGGGUGAAGUCGUAACAAGGUACC